rnacentral:rRNA from 1 species
UUUUGAUGCGGGUGUUUACACUGCAGUCGAACGAUGAACCCAGCUUGCUGGGUGGAUUAGUGGCGAACGGCGUGAGUAACACGUGAGUAACCUACCCUUGACUCUGGGAUAAGCCCGGGAAACUGGGUCUAAUACCGGAUAGGAACGUCCACCGCAUGGUGGUUGUUGGAAAGAUUUAUCGGUCAUGGAUGGACUCGCGGCCUAUCAGCUUGUUGGUGAGGUAAUGGCUCACCAAGGCGACUACGGGUAGCCGGCCUGAGAGGUCGACCGGUCACACUGGGACUGAGACACGGCCCAAACUCUUACGGUAGGAUGCAUUGGGUAAUAUUGCUCUUUGGGCUAAAGCCUGAUCUAUCCACGCCUCGAGAGUAAUGACUUUCUUCGCCUUGUACACCUCUUUCAGCAGGGACUAAUCUUAGGUGACUGCACCUGCAAAAGAAGCUCCUGGCUAAAUACCUCGUCGUCGCCGCGGUUACACUUAUGUCGCGAGUUUUUAUCCGGAAUUUUUGCCUGAAAAGAUCUUGUAGGCCGUUUGCCACGUCUCUUCGCCAAUAGACCGGGGCUUAUCACCCGUUUCUUUUUGCGUGUUCAUGCCUAACCUUCUUCCUAGUUAUGGUAACCCUGGUAAUUCUCUGUUGCUAAAGUGUUUAAUGCUCCCCAUUUCCAUUAUGAAACCCCCCCCUGGCUGAAGUUUGUGUCUUCUGGCCCUGUUAUUUUACUUUCAAGAACCCUAAUCUAUGGGUUAGCUAAACUUUGUUUAAAUUCCCCGUGUUAUUCCCUUGCCCUUUACAAUCUAGUGCCCUUAGUGGUGGUGGACCUAAUCCACGUUAUUCCCUGCCUCUAUCUUAUGCUCUUAUGUGUCCUUUCU